rnacentral:rRNA from 1 species
GACGAACCGUGCGAACGUUGUUCGGAAUCACUGGGCUUAAAGGGCGCGUAGGCGGGCGGGCAAGUCUGCGGUGAAAGCCUCCAGCUCAACUGGAGAAGUGCCGUGGAUACUGCUCAUCUUGAGGAGGGUAGGGGCGUCUGGAACGUUGGGUGGAGCGGUGAAAUGCGUAGAUAUCACUUGGAACGCCAAUGGUGAAGACAGCUCGCUGGGGGUGUCCUGACGCUGAGGCGCGAAAGCGUGGGGAGCGAACAGG